UACGUAGGACCCGAGCGUUGUCCGGAAUUACUGGGUGUAAAGGGUGCGCAGGCGGGCUUGUGCGUCAGAGGUUAAAGGCCCCGGCUCAACCGGGGAGAUGCCUUUGAUACGGCAAGUCUUGAGUACUAGAGAGGAUGGUGGAAUUCCUGGUGUAGCGGUGAAAUGCGUAGAUAUCAGGAGGAACACCCGUGGCGAAGGCGGCCAUCUGGCUAGUAACUGACGCUCAGGCACGAAAGCGUGGGUAGCGAACAGG
rnacentral:rRNA from 1 species